GACGAACGCUGGCGGCGUGCUUAACACAUGCAAGUCGAACGGAAAGGCCCUGCUUGCAGGGUACUCGAGUGGCGAACGGGUGAGUAACACGUGGGUGAUCUGCCCCGCACUUCGGGAUAAGCCUGGGAAACUGGGUCUAAUACCGGAUAGGAGCCAUUUUUAGUGUGAUGGUUGGAAAGUUUUUUCGGUGUAGGAUGAGCUCGCGGCCUAUCAGCUUGUUGGUGGGGUAAUGGCCUACCAAGGCGGCGACGGGUAGCCGGCCUGAGAGGGUGGACGGCCACAUUGGGACUGAGAUACGGCCCAGACUCCUACGGGAGGCAGCAGUGGGGAAUAUUGCACAAUGGGCGCAAGCCUGAUGCAGCGACGCCGCGUGGGGGAUGACGGCCUUCGGGUUGGAAACUCCUUUCGCUAGGGACGAAGCUUUUUGUGACGGUACCUAGAUAAGAAGCACCGGCUAACUACGUG
rnacentral:rRNA from 1 species